rnacentral:rRNA from 1 species
UACGUAGGGUGCGAGCGUUACUCGGAAUUACUGGGCGUAAAGCGUGCGCAGGCGGUUUUGUAAGCCAGAUGUGAAAUCCCCGGGCUUAACCUGGGAACUGCAUUGGUGACUGCAUUGCUGGAGUAUGGCAGAGGGGGGUGGAAUUCCACGUGUAGCAGUGAAAUGCGUAGAGAUGUGGAGGAACACCAGUGGCGAAGGCGACUCUUUGGCCUGUAACUGACGCUGAGGCGCGAAAGCGUGGGGAGCAAACAGG